UUUUAUGAUCCACGACUUUGCGUAUUAGCUCUAAGUUCUUUCGGUCCGUUUUUAUGAUCCCCGACUUUGCGUAUUAGCUCUAAGUUCUUUCGGUCUGUUUUUAUGAUCCCCGACUUUGCGUAUUAGCUCUAAAUUCUUUUGGUCUGUUUUUAUGAUCCCCGACUUUGCGUAUUAGCUCUAAGUUCUAUCGGUCGUUUUUAUGAUCCCCGACUUUGUGUAUUAGCUCUAAGUUCUAUCGGUCUGUUUUUAUGAUCCCCGACUUUGCGUAUCAGCUCUAAGUUCUUUUGGUCGUUUUAUGAUCCUCGACUUUGCGUAUUUGCUCUAAGUUCUUUCGGUCCGUUUUUAUGAUCCCCGACUUUGCGUAUUAGCUCUAAGUUCUUUCGGUCGGUUUUUAGAACCCCCAAUUUUGCGUUUUACUUUAAAUUUUUUUCGGCCUGUUUUCUUAACCCCCACUUUUGGGUUUUGGUCCUAAGUCCUAUGGGUCGUUUUUUGAAUCCCCCAUUUUGUAUUAUAUCUCAGUUCUUUCUCGGGCCGUUUUUAUUACCCCCCAUUUUGCGUAAGAUCUCUAAGCUCUUUGGGCGGUUUUAUGAUCCCCGACUUUGCGUAUUAACUCUAAGUUCUUUUGGUCCGUUUUUAUGAUCCCCGACUUUGCGUAUUAGCUCUAAGUUCUUUCGGUCCGUUUUUUGAAUCCCCAAAUUUUGCGUAUAACCCUAUGUUUCUUUCGGUCAUUUUUAUGAUCCCCGACUUUGCAUAUUAGCUCUAAGUUCUUUCGGUCCGUUUUUAUGAUCCCCGACUUUGCGUAUUAGCUCUAAGUUCUUUCGGUCCGUUUUUAUGAUCCCCGACUUUGCGUAUUAGCACUAAGUUCUUUGGGUCCGUUUUUAUGAUCCCCCACUUUGCGUAUUAGCUCUAAGUUCUUUCGGUAUUUUUUUAUGAUCCCCGAGUUUGAGUAUUAGCUGUAAGUUCUUUCGGGCCGUUUUUAUGAUCCCCGACGUUUCGUAUUAGCUCUAAGUUCUUUCGUUCCAUUUUUAUGAUCCCGGACUUUGCGUAUUAGCUCUAAGUUCUUUUGGUCCGUUUUUAUGAUCCCCGACUUUACGUAUUAGUUCUAAGUUCUUUCGGUCCGUUUUUAAGAUCCACGACUUUGAAUAUUAGCUCUAAAUUCUUUCGGUCUGUUUUUAUGAUCCCCGACUUUGCGUAUUAGCUUUAAGUUCUUUCGGUCGUUUU
rnacentral:lncRNA from 1 species